rnacentral:hammerhead_ribozyme from 1 species
AUCCAGAUGGUGAGUCCCAAAUAGAACGAAAUGCGCAUCCUGGUGGAU